GGAGAGGUGCCCGAGUGGCUGAAGGGGCACGCCUGGAAAGCGUGUGUGCGGGUAACCGUACCGAGGGUUCGAAUCCCUCUCUCUCCGCAA
rnacentral:tRNA from 2 species